rnacentral:rRNA from 1 species
UGGGGAAUUUUGGACAAUGGGGGAAACCCUGAUCCAGCCAUCCCGUGUGUGCGAUGAAGGCCUUCGGGUUGUAAAGCACUUUUGGCAGGAAAGAAACGUCAUGGGUUAAUACCCCGUGAAACUGACGGUACCUGCUGAAUAAGCACCGGCUAACUACGUGCCAGCAGCCGCGGUAAUACGUAGGGUGCAAGCGUUAAUCGGAAUUACUGGGCGUAAAGCGUGCGCAGGCGGUUCGGAAAGAAAGAUGUGAAAUCCCAGAGCUCAACUUUGGAACUGCAUUUUUAACUACCGGGCUAGAGUGUGUCAGAGGGAGGUGGAAUUCCGCGUGUAGCAGUGAAAUGCGUAGAUAUGCGGAGGAACACCGAUGGCGAAGGCAGCCUCCUGGGAUAACACUGACGCUCAUGCACGAAAGCGUGGGGAGCAAACAGG